UGGGGAAUCUUGGACAAUGGGCGCAAGCCUGAUCCAGCAAUGCCGCGUGGGUGAAGAAGGCCUGCGGGUUGUAAAGCCCUUUCGGUGGGGAGGAACGGUCUGGUGCUAAUAUCGCUGGGCGUUGCCGUUACCCACAGAAGAAGCACCGGCCAACUCCGUGCCAGCAGCCGCGGUAAUACGGGGGGUGCUAGCGUUAUUCGGAAUCAUUGGGCGUAAAGGGCGCGUAGGCGGUCUUUUAAGUCAGGUGUGAAAGCCCUCGGCUUAACCGAGGAAGUGCAUUUGAUACUAAAAGACUUGAGUAUGGGAGAGGGAAGCGGAAUUCCUGGUGUAGCGGUGAAAUGCGUAGAUAUCAGGAGGAACACCGGUGGCGAAGGCGGCUUCCUGGACUAAUACUGACGCUGAGGCGCGAAGGCGUGGGGAGCAAACAGGAUUAGAUACCCUGGUAGUCCACGCAGUAAACUGUGAACACUAGGUGUAGCGGGUAUUGACCCCUGCUGUGCCGAAGCUAACGCAUUAAGUGUUCCGCCUGGGAAGUACGGCCGCAAGGUUA
rnacentral:rRNA from 1 species